GGGCCCGCACAAGCGGCGGAGCAUGCGGAUUAAUUCGAUGCAACGCGAAGAACCUUACCAAGGCUUGACAUACACCGGAAGCAUGCAGAGAUGUGUGUGCCCUUGUGGCUGGUGUACAGGUGGUGCAUGGUUGUCGUCAGCUCGUGUCGUGAGAUGUUGGGUUAAGUCCCGCAACGAGCGCAACCCUUGUCUCGUGUUGCCAGCAAUUCGGUUGGGGACUCACGAGAGACUGCCGGGGUUAACUCGGAGGAAGGUGGGGAUGACGUCAAAUCAUCAUGCCCCUUAUGUCUUGGGCUUCACGCAUGCUACAAUGGCCGGUACAGAGUGUUGCGAUACUGUGAGGUGGAGCGAAUCACUUAAAGCCGGUCUCAGUUCGGAUUGGGGUCUGCAACUCGGCCCCAUGAAGUCGGAGUCGCUAGUAAUCGCAGAUCAGCAACGCUGCGGUGAAUACGUUCUCGGGCCUU
rnacentral:rRNA from 1 species